CUAGUCUGUUUUUCUCUUUGGUGCUUGUAUUUUGGCUCCAGAUAUAAGAAUCAGUGCCAAGUCCGAGGUUGGUGAACUCCCAUGCUUCCUUCUAAGUGUUUUUACAUGUUCGGACAUUGCUUUGCAUGGGGCGUGAUGGAGGUGACUUGGGAAAGACACAUAAAGUCCAAGGCUGGAAACUUCAUUCUGGUCUCCUGUAUUUUUGCAACAGUCUCCCUCAGUGCUGUGCUUCAAGAUAAACUCCAGGUUCUCCUUCAGUUGAAGCACAUUUUUUGAGUUGGUGUGCCUCAGCCUCUCCCUAAGAAACAAAAGAAGACACCAGGAGGAGAGGAAGACAAAGAAAUGGGGGAUUUGGUCUUCUACGCUCCUACUUGGAUGGUUUUGUUCCAGAGAUGACUCUAGGAUGGCAUGCUUCAUUGGGGGGGAGGGGUGCGAGGCUGGUGAGGGAAGAGGCCAGAUCCUGUACUAAUUCCAGCAUGAGAAUUUGAAUAAAAGGUAUUUGGAUCUUUA